ensembl:lncRNA
CCGAGGGUCGCGUCGAGGAUGUGAGGGCUCGCUCCCCGCCGCCCGCCGGGCCAGGGGAGGCGCGUUUGUGUUUGGAAGCUCGAAAUGCAGUAGACAAUCAUCAGGGCGCAGGCAGUAGAGCCUCUCCUGACCCAGGACGGUGGUCUUCUUCCCCUUUUCUGCUGUCAGAAGCUGCUGGUAAGACGGUCCUAAGAAUGUUGGAGGCUGUUAGUGGUUUCGUUACUUGGGACAUUUCAUUUUUCGUUAGGGCGGACCCUGGACAAAGUGAACUUAACCCUGCUUUUGUGGAGGCCUUGAACAAAGAUUUGAAUUUUAUCCUCAGAGCGGGAGCGGCACAGUGUGAGGGCUGGGUGGGUGUAUUAACCCAUUUUCCAGCUGUGCCAGCCUCCACCCUGUGGCUGGUAAUAAAUCAAGCCCAGGACCCAGAACUCCCAGCUCCAGCCUCACUCCAAACAACACCUGCUUUUUCAAGUCAGCUUGGCCUCAGAAGACAGAGCAUCAAAUAUACAGGGCCUGUUUAUCUGUGUGUGUGUGCUUUUUAAAUGAGACCAGAUCCUUUGACAAUAAUUGAAUGCGAAGAUGUAAGGCAAUUAAAAAAAGAAACUUUUCUAGCCUUUGGCAGCAUUUUUCUUGAUGAACA